GGAGUGGUAUCGAAGCGGUCAUAACGAGAACGACUCGAAAUCGUUUGUACCUUUGCUGGUACCGUGGGUUCGAAUCCCACCCACUCCGCCA
rnacentral:tRNA from 1 species